rnacentral:lncRNA from 1 species
CCUAAAAAAGAAUGAAAAGAAUGGAAGUCGGAUUCGCUAACCUUUCGGCCGGAGUCAUUCACACCAACUGAUGCCUGACUUCUUCAGUCUCAUGCUUCUAUAAGGCUUUUAGAGACUCCACCUAUUGUGAUCCAAAGUGCAGCCUAUACGUUCAAGCUUUCAAGCCCGAAUGAGUUGAACGAAAAAGGUACGAAGUUGCUCGAAAGAGUGAAGAGAGAAAAGUUGGACUAAUUGGUCAGCCUUGUCGUCUCUACACCUAAUCAUAUGUCAAUGAAAGUCGUUCUG